GCGUUGCUGAGGAGUUCCACAAUAGGACGAAACGGCCGUCCAGUGC
rnacentral:hammerhead_ribozyme from 1 species